rnacentral:rRNA from 1 species
UACGUAAGUGGCGAGCGUUAUCCGGAAUUACUGGGCGUAAAGCGUGCGUAGGCGGUUCAGUGUGUGGGAAUUGAAAGCCCGGGGCUCAACUCCGGAUCCGGUUCCCAAGCUGCUGGACUCGAGCGUAUCAGAGGACAGUGGAAUUCCCGGUGUAGCGGUAAUAUGCGUAGAUAUCGGGAGGAACACCAGUGGCGAAGGCGACUGUCUGGGGUAUUGCUGACGCUGAGGCACGAAAGCCAGGGGAGCGAACGGG